rnacentral:rRNA from 1 species
GACGAACGCUGGCGGCGUGCUUAACACAUGCAAGUCGAACGGAAAGGCCCUGCUUUUGUGGGGUGCUCGAGUGGCGAACGGGUGAGUAACACGUGAGUAACCUGCCCUUGACUUUGGGAUAACUUCAGGAAACUGGGGCUAAUACCGGAUAGGAGCUCCUGCUGCAUGGUGGGGGUUGGAAAGUUUCGGCGGUUGGGGAUGGACUCGCGGCUUAUCAGCUUGUUGGUGGGGUAGUGGCUUACCAAGGCUUUGACGGGUAGCCGGCCUGAGAGGGUGACCGGCCACAUUGGGACUGAGAUACGGCCCAGACUCCUACGGGAGGCAGCAGUGGGGAAUAUUGCACAAUGGGCGGAAGCCUUAUGCAGCAACGCCGCGUGCGGGAUGACGGCCUUCGGGUUGUAAACCGCUUUCGCCUUUGACGAAGCGUGAGUGACGGUAAUGGGUAAAGAAGCACCGGCUAACUACGUG